rnacentral:rRNA from 1 species
AGCUCCAAUAGCGUAUAUUUAAGUUGUUGCAGUUAAAAAGCUCGUAGUUGGAUCUUGGGUCGUAAAGGUCGGUCCGCCUACUCGGUGUGCACCUGCCUUUCCGUCCCUUUUGUCGGCGGCGUGCUCCUGGCCUUAAUUGGCUGGGUCGCGGUUCCGGCGCUGUUACUUUGAAAAAAUUAGAGUGCUCAAAGCAAGCUUAUGCUCUGAAUACAUUAGCAUGGAAUAACGUGAUAGGAGUCUGGUCCUAUUGUGUUGGCCUUCGGGACCGGAGUAAUGAUUAAUAGGGACUGUCGGGGGCAUUCGUAUUUCAUUGUCAGAGGUGAAAUUCUUGGAUUUAUGAAAGACGGACCACUGCGAAAGCAUUUGCCAAGGAUGUUUUCAUUA